rnacentral:tRNA from 1 species
GCCCUUAUAGUUCAGUGAUAGAACGCAUUCUUGGUAAGAAUGAGGUCGUGAGUUUGAUUCUCACUAAGGGCU